UACGUAGGUGGCAAGCGUUGUCCGGAUUUACUGGGCGUAAAGAGCGCGCAGGCGGUCGAAUAAGUCGAAUGUGAAAGCCCCCGGCUUAACUGGGGAGGGUCAUUCGAUACUGUUCGACUUGAAGGCAGGAGAGGGAAGCAGAAUUCCCGGUGUAGUGGUGAAAUGCGUAGAUAUCGGGAGGAAUACCAGUGGCGAAGGCGGCUUCCUGGCCUGUUCUUGACGCUGAGGCGCGAAAGCUGGGGGAGCAAACGGGAUUAGAUACCCCUUGUAGU
rnacentral:rRNA from 1 species